rnacentral:rRNA from 1 species
CCUACGGGUGGCAGCAGUGAGGAAUAUUGGACAAUGGGCGCGAGCCUGAACCAGCCAAGUCGCGUGAGGGAAGACGGCCCUACGGGUUGUAAACCUCUUUUGCCGGGGAGCAACGGGCGCCACGUGUGGCGCCACUGAGAGUACCCGGAGAAAAAGCAUCGGCAAACUCCGUGCCAGCAGCCGCGGUAAUACGGAGGAUGCGAGCGUUAUCCGGAUUUAUUGGGGGAAAGGGGUGCGUAGGCGGCCUGCUAAGGCUGGAGUGAAAGGUACCGGCCAAACCGGUAAAGGCUCUGGAAACUGGGGGGCUAGAGAGCAGGAGAGGGCGGUGGAACUCCAUGUGUAGCGGUAAAAUGCGUAGAUAUAUGGAAGAACACCAGUGGCGAAGGCGGCCGCCUGGCCUGUUACUGACGCUGAGGCACGAAAGCGUGGGGAGCGAAUAGGAUUAGAUACCCCAGUAGUC